CUUUUCAUUACUUCAAUCACAUAAGCUCCUAUGUUUCUUAUUCUCAUCUCAUAAUACCUCUCCAAUUCCUAAUUUUGCAGAUAAAAUCCACUCUGAAAUCAAUGAUUUAAUGAGUAGCUGCGGAUUCAAAAGUUUUGAGGGUGGACUUUGUGAUGAUUUGUUGUUCAACAAUUAUCGAUAUAGAGUCGAAAUGUCAGUUCAUCUCCAUUCUCCAAUUGUCAAGGCGACAGGAACACCAAAAAGACAACUUCAAAGUCCGAUGAUGUGUACUCAAGCUUACUAUGAAAGCCAAAUUUUCAUCAACUAUAAAUUUUGCAGCUUUAACGGUUGAUGGUAAGGAGAACACAGAACAAGUCCAAUGCAGUGCCAGUGAUAUUGAAGAGGC